rnacentral:rRNA from 1 species
ACGGGGUAGGAACGGGUGGGUGACGUACCCUUCGGCCGGGGAUAGCCACGGGAAACUGUGGGUAAUACCCGAUAAUCUCCUGAGAGGUAAUCUUUCAGGAGCAAAGGUGUGAUUCCUCCGGAGGAGCGGCCCGCCUCGUAUUAGCUAGUUGGUGAGGUAAAGGCUCACCAAGGCGACGAUGCGUAGGGGGUGUGAGAGCAUGACCCCCACCACUGGGACUGAGAUACUGCCCAGACACCUACGGGUGGCUGCAGUCGAGAAUCUUCGGCAAUGGGCGCAAGCCUGACCGAGCGACGCCGCGUGUGGGAUGAAGGCCCUUGGGUUGUAAACCACUGUCAGAGGGGAUGAAAUGCCAGAGAGUUAUCUCUCUGGUUUGACAUAGCCUCAGAGGAAGCACGGGCUAAGUUCGUGCCAGCAGCCGCGGUAAUACGAACUGUGCGAACGUUAUUCGGAAUCACUGGGCUUACAGGGUGCGUAGGCGGCUUGUUAAGUAGGGUGUGAAAGCCCCCGGCUCAACCGGGGAAUUGCGCCCUAAACUGGCGAGCUGGAGUGAGAUAGGGGUGUGUGGAACUUCCGGUGGAGCGGUGAAAUG